AGGGUUUGAUUAUGGCUCAGGAUGAACGCUGGCGGCGUGCCUAACACAUGCAAGUCGAGCGAAGCGAUUGCGAGGAAGUUUUCGGAUGGAAUCACAGUUGACUGAGCGGCGGACGGGUGAGUAACGCGUGGAUAACCUGCCUCAUACAGGGGGAUAACAGUUAGAAAUGACUGCUAAUACCGCAUAAGCGCACAGUGCCGCAUGGUACGGUGUGAAAAACUCCGGUGGUAUGAGAUGGAUCCGCGUCUGAUUAGAUAGUUGGUGAGGUAACGGCUCACCAAGUCGACGAUCAGUAGCCGACCUGAGAGGGUGACCGGCCACAUUGGGACUGAGACACGGCCCAA
rnacentral:rRNA from 1 species